rnacentral:rRNA from 1 species
UAUAAGUUUAAUCGUUUAUCGAGAAACCGCGAACGGCUCAUUACAAUGGCCAUUAUUUACUUGAUCUUGAUUGUCUAAAUGGAUAACUGUGGAAAAGCUAGAGCUAAUACAUGCACUAAAGCUUUGUCCUUACGGAAAAGCGCAUUUAUUAGAACAAAACCACGCGGCUUCGGCUGCUUCUUGUUGACUCAGAAUAACUUAGCUGACCGCAUGGCCUUGUGCCGGCGGCGUGUCUUUCAAGCGUCCACUUUAUCAACUUGACGGGAGCAUAAUCGACUCCCGUGGUGGUGACGGAUAACGGAGGAUCAGGGUUCGACUCCGGAGAAGGGGCCUGAGAAAUGGCCACUACGUCUAAGGAUGGCAGCAGGCGCGCAAAUUACCCACUCUCGGCUCGAGGAGGUAGUGACGAGAAAUAACGAGACUGUUCUCUUUGAGGCCGGUCAUCGGAAUGGGUACAAUUUAAACCCUUUAACGAGUAUCAAGCAGAGGGCAAGUCUGGUGCCAGCAGCCGCGGUAAUUCCAGCUCUGCAAAUACAUAGAAUUAUUGCUGCGGUUAGAAAGCUCAUAGUUGGAUUCGUAUCGAUACCUUGGAACCCUUCGGGUGUCUCUAGGUGUUAUCGAUUUAUCGUAAUGUUCGGUUUUGAGUCCUUAACAGGAUUCUUAACAGGCAUUGCAAGUUUACUUUGAACAAAUCAGAGUGCUUCAAACAGGCGUUUUCGCUUGAAUGAUCGUGCAUGGAAUAAUAGAAAAUGAUUUCGGUUCAGUUUUAUUGGUUUUACGGACUGAGAUAAUGGUUAACAGAGACAAACGGGGGCAUUUGUAUGGUCCCGUGAGAGGUGAAAUUCUUGGACCGUGGCCAGACAAACUACAGCGAAAGCAUUUGCCAAGAAUGUUUUUAUUAAUCAAGAACGAAAGUCAGAGGUUCGAAGGCGAUCAGAUACCGCCCUAGUUCUGACCGUAAACGAUGCCAACUAGCGAUCCGCCGAUGGAAAUUAUAUUGCCUUGGUGGGGAGCUUCCCGGAAACGAAAGUCUUCCGGUUCCGGGGGAAGUAUGGUUGCAAAGCUGAAACUUAAAGGAAUUGACGGAAGGGCACCACCAGGAGUGGAGCCUGCGGCUUAAUUUGACUCAACACGGGGAAACUCACCCGGCCCGGACACUGUGAGGAUUGACAGAUUGAUAGCUUUUUCAUGAUUCAGUGGAUGGUGGUGCAUGGCCGUUCUUAGUUCGUGGAGUGAUUUGUCUGGUUUAUUCCGAUAACGAGCGAGACUCUAACCUACUAAAUAGUUGGUACAUACUCUUAGUGUAUACAGCUUCUUAGAGGGAUUUGCGGCGUUCAGCCGAAAGAAAUUGAGCAAUAACAGGUCUGUGAUGCCCUUAGAUGUCCGGGGCUGCACGCGCGCUACACUGGCAAAAUCAACGUGCUUGUCCUACCCUGAAAGGGGCGGGUAAACCAUUGAAAAUUUGCCGUGAUUGGGAUCGGAAAUUGCAAUUAUUUUCCGUGAACGAGGAAUUCCAAGUAAGUGCGAGUCAUCAGCUCGCGUUGAUUACGUCCCUGCCCUUUGUACACACCGCCCGUCGCUGCCCGGGACUGAGCCAUUUCGAGAAAUUUGGGGACCGUUGAUUUAAUUUUUCUAAAUUACUUUGAUGGAAACCAA